GGGACCAUAGUCCAGUGGUUAGAGCGCUUGACUACCAAACCAGACAGGGAGAGGACCUGGGUUCGAAUCCCAGGUGUAACC